AUGGUCAGCGUCACCGAGCUCUGCCCGCUGUCCCUGGAGAUCGUGACCCGGCCCUGCACCGAUGCAUUCUUCAUUGAUUGCCAAAUUAAUAUCUCAUUAACGACCCCCAAAACCCCUGGGACCCCAACCCCGGCACAUCCCGGCCACGGCCUCGAGCUCCCUCCGGCUCCUGGCCCUGCUGGCCCUACCUGGUCAGUCCCGCCCCUUUUUCCUGAUGGCCACGCCCACUCUGCGGCUCUCGACCAAUCAGGUUUCCCAUCCCCAUGUCCCCCUCUCCCCGCAGGGCUCCGGGCGGCCGUGACCCUGCUGGAGUGCGGGGGGGACCUCCAGCCCCCCGGGGGGUCCCUGCGCCUCCUCUGCCGAGGGUCUGGGUUCGAUUUCGGGAGUUUUGGAAUGUUCUGGAUCCGCCAGAGACCCGGGCAGGGGCUGGAGUGGCUCGCGGGGAUUGACAUCCUUGGCAGCACCGACUACGCGCCGUCGGUCAAGGGCCGGGUCACGAUCUCCAGGGACGAUGGGCAGAGCUCGGUGACGCUGACCAUGACCGACCUCCGGGACGAGGAUUCCGGAUCCUAUUUCUGUGCCAAGGGUGCUGUGGCUGGUUGGGAUGCUGCUGCUCCUGCUGGUCUUAGUGCACCCCAGCCCACCCCCGGCCCGUGA